rnacentral:rRNA from 1 species
UACGGAGGGUGCAAGCGUUGUCCGGAUUUAUUGGGUUUAAAGGGUGCGUAGGCGGCAAAUUAAGUCAGCGGUGAAAUUCCACAGCUCAACUGUGGAACUGCCAUUGAUACUGGUUUGCUUGAGUACAGAUGAGGUAGGCGGAAUUGACAGUGUAGCGGUGAAAUGCUUAGAUAUUGUCAAGAACACCUAUUGCGAAGGCAGCUUACUAAACUGUAACUGACGCUGAGGCACGAAAGCGUGGGGAUCAAACAG